ACGCCCGUCACACCAUGGACGUUGGUUUACCUGAAGACGGUAGCGCUAACCGCAAGGGGGCAGCCGGCCACGGUAGGAGUACAGCGACUGGGUG
rnacentral:rRNA from 1 species